UGAUCCUGCCGGAGGACAUUGCUAUUGGGAUUCGAUUUAGCCAUGCUAGUCGGACGAGUUUAAACUCGUGGCAGAUAGCUCAGUAACACGUGGCCAAGCUACCCUUCAGUCGGCAAUACCCUCGGGAAACUGAGGUUAACGGCCGAUGUGGGACGCCUGCUGGAAUGCGGCGUUCUCUAAAGGCGACGCUGAAGGAUGCGGCUGCGGCCGAUUAGGUAGACGGUGGGGUAACGGCCCACCGUGCCAGUAAUCGGUACGGGUGAUGAGAGUCAGAGCCCGGAGACGGUAUCUGAGACAAGAUACCGGGCCCUACGGGGCGCAGCAGGCGCGAAACCUUUACACUGCACGAGAGUGCGAUAGGGGGAUUCCGAGUGCGAGGGCAUACAGUCCUCGCUUUUCUGGACCGUAAGGAGGUCCAAGAAUAAGGGCUGGGCAAGACCGGUGCCAGCCGCCGCGGUAAUACCGGCAGCCCGAGUGAUGGCCGAUAUUAUUGGGCCUAAAGCGUUCGUAGCCGGCCAGACAAGUCUGUUGGGAAAUCCACGCGCUCAACGCGUGGGCGUCCAGCGGAAACUGUCUGGCUUGGGGCCGGAGGACUCGAGGGGUACGUCCGGGGUAGGAGUGAAAUCCCGUAAUCCUGGACGGACCACCGGUGGCGAAAGCGUCUCGAGAGGACGGACCCGACGGUGAGGAACGAAAGCCAGGGUCUCGAACCGGAUUAGAUACCCGGGUAGUCCUGGCCGUAAACGAUGUCUGCUAGGUGUGGCACAGGCUACGAGCCUGUGCUGUGCCGCAGGGAAGCCGUGAAGCAGACCGCCUGGGAAGUACGUCUGCAAGGAUGAAACUUAAAGGAAUUGGCGGGGGAGCACUACAACCGGAGGAGCCUGCGGUUUAAUUGGACUCAACGCCGGACAUCUCACCGGCACCGACAACAGUGACGACGGUCAGGUUGAUGACCUUACCCGAGUUGUUGAGAGGAGGUGCAUGGCCGCCGUCAGCUCGUACCGUGAGGCGUCCUGUUAAGUCAGGCAACGAGCGAGACCCGCAUCGAUACUUGCCAGCAACGCUGUGAAGCGGUUGGGGACAGUAUCGAGACUGCCGUGGCCAACACGGAGGAAGGAACGGGCAACGGUAGGUCAGUAUGCCCCGAAUGUGCUGGGCAACACGCGGGCUACAAUGGUCGAGACAAAGGGUUCCAACUCCGAAAGGAGACGGUAAUCUCAGAAACUCGAUCGUAGUUCGGAUUGUGGGCUGCAACUCGCCCACAUGAAGCUGGAUUCGGUAGUAAUCGCGUGUCACAAGCGCGCGGUGAAUACGUCCCUGCUCCUUGUACACACCGCCCGUCA
rnacentral:rRNA from 1 species